rnacentral:rRNA from 1 species
AGCGAACGCUGGCGGCAGGCCUAACGCAUGCAAGUCGAACGAACCCUUCGGGGUUAGUGGCGGACGGGUGAGUAACACGUGGGAACGUGCCUUUAGGUUCGGAAUAACUCAGGGAAACUUGUGCUAAUACCGAAUGUGCCCUUCUGGGGAAAGAUUUAUCGCCUUUAGAGCGGCCCGCGUCUGAUUAGCUAGUUGGUGAGGUAAUGGCUCACCAAGGCUACGAUCAGUAGCUGGUCUGAGAGGAUGACCAGCCACAUUGGGACUGAGACACGGCCCAAACUCCUACGGGAGGCAGCAGUGGGGAAUCUUGCGCAAUGGGCGAAAGCUUGACGCAGCCAUGCCGCGUGGAUGAUGAAGGUCUUAGGAUUGUAAAAUCCUUUCACCGGUGAAGAUAAUGACUGUAGCCGGAGAAGAAGCCCCGGCUAACUUCGUGCCAGCCGCCGCCGUAAUAC